GACGAACGCUGGCGGCGUGCCUAAUACAUGCAAGUCGUGCGGACCUUUUAAAAGCUUGCUUUUAAAAGGUUAGCGGCGGACGGGUGAGUAACACGUGGGCAACCUGCCUGUAAGACUGGGAUAACGCCGGGAAACCGGGGCUAAUACCGGAUCGUUUUUCCUCCGCAUGGAGGAAAAAGGAAAGGCGGCUUCGGCUGCCACUUACAGAUGGGCCCGCGGCGCAUUAGCUAGUUGGCGGGGUAACGGCCCACCAAGGCAACGAUGCGUAGCCGACCUGAGAGGGUGGUCGGCCACCUUGGGACUUGGACCCGGCCCAAACUCCUACGGGAGGCAGCAGUAGGGAAUCUUCCGCAAUGGACGAAAGUCUGACGGAGCAACGCCGCGUGAGUGAAGAAGGCCUUCGGGUCGUAAAACUCUGUUGCCGGGGAAGAACAAGUGCCGUUCGAACAGGGCGGCGCCUUGACGGUACCCGGCCAGAAAGCCACGGCUAACUACGUG
rnacentral:rRNA from 1 species